UAUGUUUAAUGCUUUUUGUAUGUUUAUCAUCGACUACUAACCCUAGCUUUAUGAAUAUGCAAAUUGAUCUUAGAGAUUGAAUGACCACUAACCCUGGCUUUUGACUCUGAUCUAGGUAAUAAGUUUAACCUAAGUAAUCAAGCUAGAGAUAGAUCAUUAUUAGGUUAUGACAUAGGGAUUAACGUUCUGUUAAAACCUCCAACGGUUUCGAAUUCACUUAAGAGAUUAAGGGGUUGUCACAUGCGGGGAGAAUUCUAGGUCAAGAGAUUGGGUAGAAUUACUUUGUUAAUCUGUCGUUAAACUAGAUAAUCAUUGCUUGAAUUAGGAGUGCAAAUUACCAUAGGAGAACUUCAGAGGAUUCGAAGGUCUUAACCAUACUUCUCUCUAAUAUUCUGAAAACCAACUUUUAUUGUUUUAUUUACGUUUAUGUUACAAAACAACUCAACUGCCUAGGGCAAUCAAUAUAAAUUUAUACAUCCUUUUUGAUAAAGAAAUUGCCGAGUAGAAAUUAACAACGGUCCUCGUGGAUACGAACUUUAUUACUACUUCGAUAGCUUUUGGUACACUUGCCAAAUAUCUAUCAAGUUUUUGGCGCCGCUGCCGGGGACUGUUGAAUUAUUUCAACUUGGUAAUUUCGUUAUUAUUUAGGAUUUCUGUCAUUUACAUAAUUGUUUAUAUAUAUAAAAAAUUUGAAAAAAAAAAUUAUGAUUUCAUCCCUUCAUGUUUAUCUCAUUGAACUUUGCUGCUAAAAAGUUUAUCCAAGUUUUGCAGCUAUGAUAGACAGGUUAGUAGACAGAUUACGCCUAUAUGACACAGAAGAGAUUAUUACGUUGCAGUAUGAAAAAUAUUUGCUAUCUGUGAAGAUGAAACAUUGCGACGAUAAAAUCUCAAGAUUAAAUACGAGAUGUGAUCUUUAUGAGGCAAAUCAAACAGAUAGUGAUUGUGAAGGGAAGAAAGAGGUGAUCAACAUCGAUUACAAUACUCAACUUCAAAUUAUUUUAGAUAAUUUCUUGAUGUCAAAUCAAGUUUCAUUUGAGAAGUUUGAUGUUCAGUGUGGUGAUCUUGUUGAGAAAGCAUAUGAGUCUCAGCAAAAGUUUGUUGAGAUGGAGACUGAGUGUCCGGCUACUAUGGUGGACGACAAUCCACAAGUGAUAAGUGUUGGUCUCUACCUGAAGUCUCAACAAAUGGGGUCUGAAGAACUCACUCUUGUGCAAAUGAAUACAUAUCCUUCUUUAAGGUGGGAGAACUUAAAUUCCAAAGGUUUAACAGUGAGCGCAUGGGAGUAUCUAUUUCUUUAUGCCAAAUUCAUGGGAUUCCUACCAAACAAGAGGAAGAAGAAGGAUGACAUAUUUCUUCUAUCAUUUUUUCCACCCUAACAAUGGUUGAAGCGUCAAGCUCAUAAAAGAAAGCGCUUGAUGGGAGGCAACCCAUCCUUUUCCCUGCUCUGUUAUUUGUUUUUGUUAUUUUAUUUUGUAUGAACUUUUGUAUGGAGUCAACUUGAGAAGUGUCUGGUUUAUGAUUUUAUGAUUCCCCUAUUUUGUAAUGCAUCUGAACUUGUUUAUUAUUAAUGAAUUGACUUUUCUUGAAAUUUUCCAGUUCAGUAACAAAGAUUCCAUCAAUGAUUUGUCAAAAGUUCGAAGGAGGUAGUGCUUGCAUGAUUCUAUAAGGGAAGUGUACGGCAGAAAGAUGCUUAGGUAGCUACAACUUCCAGAAACCUCAACUUGUAAGGUUAUGGCCUAAAUUUGUUUUUCAAUUUUUACAAAUAUGAGUGCUUCCAUGCAGGUGCUAUUUCUAAUAUUUGCGAUUUUUCUUUGUAAUUGAUUGGUCAUAUAUUGUACACACUAAGGCAAAUUGCUUGUACCUUAAGCCUUUGUAGCCCACCUUUGUUUAUUUUGAAUUAUCCUUUGUUUAAACCAAGUUGAGCCACUAGGAUUUAGACCCCUUAUUUCGGUGACUAACCACAUUACAAGCCUAGAGACCUUAGGAAUGUACCCAAAAUUUUGUUGGAGUUAGGCAUGUUUUUGUGUGUUAUGAUUGAAAAGUUCAAGUUUGGGGUUGCUUCUGGAACUAGCAACACUUUAAGUUUGGGGUAGGGGUACUAGAGAAAGAAAAGAGAAUCACUUUGUGCUAAAAAAAAUAUAAGCAUGAUAAAAUAUGCUGAACUGUCAAAAUUUUCAUUUUAAGUUGGUUCCUUGAGGACAAGUAACGAUGCAAGUUUGGGGUUGUGAUGACAUUCUGUCAUUACUCUUUUAGUAGACAUUUUUCAUGUAAUUUUAGGGGUUAUUUAUUGUUAUUCAUGGAGUUGCAAGCUACAAAAGAACAAGAAAUUGAAGUUUGAAGAAGUCAGAAUUCGGCCCCCGAUUUUACAAAUCGGCCCCCGAUUUAACGCAUUCGACCCCCGAAUUUUGGACUCGGUGGCCGAUUUUGACAGGCUUAUAAAUAGAAAAGUCUGUUUUCAAAGGAAGGGUUCACGAUUUUAUGAGAGAAAAGGCAUAUUUGGAGCGGGGGCUUUGUAGAUUUGGUGGGAGACCAACACAACUCAUAGUCAAUUAUCCAAUACAUGUAUGAAUCCUUGUUUUUAUGUGAGUUGUCUUGUACUUUAGUUAUGAGUAACUAAUCUCUUUGUGGUUAAACUUGAGAUAAAUAUGAUGUAAUCCUAUGGGAACCCUAGUUUGUUGAACUCCUUUGAAUAUCAAUGAAAGUCUAGUUUUAAUUCAUAUUACUUUAUGUUUAAUGCUUUUUGUAUGUUUAUCAUCGACUACUAACCCUAGCUUUAUGAAUAUGCAAAUUGAUCUUAGAGAUUGAAUGACCACUAACCCUAGCUUUUGACUCUGAUCUAGGUAAUAAGUUUAACCUAAGUAAUCAAGCUAGAGAUAGAUCAUUAUUAGGUUAUGACAUAGGGAUUAACGUUCUGCUAAAACCUCCAACGGUUUCGAAUUCACUUAAGAGAUUAAGGGGUUGUCACUUGCGGGUAGAAUUCUAGGUCAAGAGAUUGG
rnacentral:lncRNA from 1 species